rnacentral:rRNA from 3 species
UACGUAGGUGGCAAGCGUUGUCCGGAUUUACUGGGCGUAAAGGAUGCGUAGGCGGAUAUUUAAGUCAGAUGUGAAAACCCCGGGCUCAACUUGGGGACUGCAUUUGAAACUGGAUAUCUAGAGUGCGGGAGAGGAAAGUGGAAUUCCUAGUGUAGCGGUGAAAUGCGUAGAGAUUAGGAAGAACACCAGUGGCGAAGGCGACUUUCUGGACCGUAACUGACGCUGAGGCAUGAAAGCGUGGGGAGCAAACAGG